UGUAAGAUCUACGGAGAAAUGCUUAGGUUGGUGCUUGCCUUCGGGCAGGUUUAACCUUUGCGUUCUACGAUGGUCUUGCAUGAGGAGUGAUAAACCGCCCCGAAAGGGACGAUGUCCAGGGUCUGUUUGCCUCAGUGCGUAGGAGAACAAAGUUCUGCUUGUACGAAGGGUGAAUACUACUUUGGAACAUCAGUUGCUGGUUUCGCGUUGUGGGCGAAAUGGUUUUCUUCCACCCGUCUUGUAACACGGACCAAGGAGUCUAACAUAUAUGCGAGUAUUAGGCUGACAAAGCCUGAUGCGUAAUGAAAGUAAAGCUGAUAAAGCUAGGUAGGAAUCUCGCCCUCGGGUGGGAGGCACUAUCGACCGAUCGUUCGCUUGCGGAAGAUUUGAGUAAGAGCAUAUAUGUUGGGACCCGAAAGAUGGUGAUCUAUGCCUGAACAGGGUGAAGCCAGGGGAAACUCUGGUGGAAGCUCGUAGCGAUACUGACGUGCAAAUCGUUCGUCUGAUUUGGGUAUAGGGGC
rnacentral:rRNA from 1 species